rnacentral:rRNA from 1 species
UACGAAGGGGGCUAGCGUUGCUCGGAAUCACUGGGCAUAAAGCGCACGUAGGCGGAUUGUUAAGUCAGGGGUGAAAUCCUGGAGCUCAACUCCAGAACUGCCUUUGAUACUGGCGAUCUCGAGUCCGGGAGAGGUGAGUGGAACUGCGAGUGUAGAGGUGAAAUUCGUAGAUAUUCGCAAGAACACCAGUGGCGAAGGCGGCUCACUGGCCCGGUACUGACGCUGAGGUGCGAAAGCGUGGGGAGCAAACAGG